rnacentral:misc_RNA from 1 species
UCCGGCUUUCACCGGCUGUCUCCUUAGAGAGCCCAACUUAAUGCUGGCAACUAAGGAUAAGGGUUGCGCUCGUUGCGGGACUGAACCCAACAUCUCACGACACGAGCUGACGACAACCAUGCACCACCUGUCUCCACUGUCCCGAAGGAAAGGACUAUCUCUAAUCCGGUCAGUGGGAUGUCAAGCCUUGGUAAGGUUCUUCGCGUUGCUUCGAAUUAAACCACAUGCUCCACCGCUUGUGCGGGCCCCCGUCAAUUCCUUUGAGUUUCAGCCUUGCGGCCGUACUCCCCAGGCGGAGUGCUUAUUGGGUUUCCUUCGGCACUGAGGACGUGAUGCCCCCAACACCUAGCACUCAUCGUUUACGGCGUGGACUAC